rnacentral:lncRNA from 1 species
AUUUUCAUCUUCUCUCAGAUGUAACAACCGAAGAUGAUUCAUCUUCAUCUGCUCUAAGGUGUCGCAAGUGAGAGGAUUCAUCUUUGUCUUCUCCUAUGUGUUGCAACCGAGAGGAUUCAUCUUCAUCUUAUCCUAAGAAUUGCAACUGAGAAGAUUCACCUUCAUCUUCUUUCAGGUGUCGCAACCAAAGAAGAUUCAUCUUUAUCUUCUUCCAGGUGCUGCAACCAAAGAGGAUUCAUCUUCAUCUUCUUUCAUAUGACGUAGCCGGAAGGAUUCACCUUCAUCUUCUUCUAGGUGCUACAACCGAGAGGAUUCAUCUUCAUCUUCUCAUUGGAAUUGCAACUGAGAAGAUUCAUCUUCAUCUUCUCCUAAGAGUCGCAACCGAGAAGAUUCACCUUCAUCUUCUUUCAGGUGUCGCAACCAAAGAAGAUUCAUCUUCAUCUUCUUUUAGGAGUUGCAACCAAAGAGAAUUCAUCUUCAUCUUCUUUCAUAUGUCGUAGCCAGAAGGAUUCACCUUCAUCUUCUUCUAGGUGCUACAAUCAAAGAUGAUUCAUCUUCCUCUUCUCUUAUAUGUCAUAGCUGAGAAGAUUCAUCUUCAUCUUCUCCCAGGUGCUGCAAUCGAAAAUGAUUCAUCUUCUCUCAUAUGUCAUAGCCGAGAGGAUUCAUCUUCAUCUUCUCCCAUAUGUCAUAGCCGAGAGGAUUUAUCUUCAUCUUCUCCCAGGUGCUGCAAUCGAAAAUGAUUCAUCUUCUCUCAUAUGUCAUAGCCGAGAGGAUUCAUCUUCAUCUUCUCCCAUAUGUCAUAGCCGAGAGGAUUUAUCUUCAUCUUCUCCAGGUGCUGCAAUUGAAUAGGAUUCAUCUUCAUCUCCUCCCAUAUGUCAUAGUCGAGAGGAUUCAUCUCCUUCCAUAUGUCAUAGCCGAGAGGAUUCAUCUUCAUCUUCUCUCAUAUGUCAUAGCUGAGAGGAUUCAUCUUCAUAUUCUUCCAAGUGCUGCAAUUGAACAGAAUUCAUCUUCAUCUCCUCCCAUAUCUCAUAGCCGAGAGGAUUCAUCUUCAUCUUCUCCUAUAUGUCGUAGCUGAGAGUAUUCAUCUUUAUCAUCUAACAGGUGUCGCAACCCGGCCGAUGGAAUUCAUUUUCAUCAGCUCUAAGGUGUCGCAAGCUAGAUGAUUAUCUUCAUCUUCUCCCUGGUACCACAACCAAGAAAGAAAAAAAAGGAGAAGCAAGAAGAAGAAAGAAUGAAGAAGAAAG